AGCUUUGCGCAGUGGCAGUAUCAUAGCCAAUGAGGUUUAUCUGAGGUGCAAUUAUUGCUAAUAGAAAUUACAUAGAUGAUUUGAAUAACACUGACAACCAAUUUGGCCUGACAUUCUUAGAACAUCUUACUCAACAACAGCAGAAUGUAUAUUUUUCUCAAGUACAUGCAUAACAUUUAUUAAGAU
rnacentral:snRNA from 13 species